UACGGAGGGUGCAAGCGUUGUCCGGAAUCACUGGGCGUAAAGGGCGCGUAGGCGGCUCAUGAAGGCUGUGGUGAAAGUCCGGGGCUCAACCUCGGAUCGGCCGUGGCGACUCGUGGGCUGGAGCACUGUAGAGGCGGGUGGAAUUCCGGGUGUAGCGGUGGAAUGCGUAGAUAUCGGAAGGAACACCAGUGGCGAAAGCGGCUUCCUGGUCCAGCACCGACGUUCAGGCACGAAAGCGUGGGGAGCAAACAGG
rnacentral:rRNA from 1 species